ACUGCCACUAGAAGAGUUGCAGGUGAGGCUACUGUGUUAUAUGUGUGUCAAUUGGUUAUGGAGAGAAAAGAGGCUAUGUCUAAGCUCAGUUUUCUGAACUAUGAACAUCUGAAUGAUUGGCAGCCUGACAUU